rnacentral:rRNA from 1 species
GUAGGGUCCAAGCGUUGUCCGGAUUUACUGGGCGUAAAGAGCGCGUAGGCGGCUCGAUAAGUGUGAAGUGAAAUCUCUAGGGCUCAACCCAGAAACUGCUUUACAUACUGUCGAGCUGGAGUGAUGAAGAGGUUUGUGGAAUUCCUGGUGUAGCGGUGAAAUGCGUUGAUAUCAGGAGGAACACCCAUGGCGAAGGCAGCAWACUGGUCAUCAACUGACGCUGAGGCGCGAAAGCGUGGGUAGCAAACAGGAUUAGAUACCCUGGUAGUCCACGCCCUAAACGAUGGAUACUAGGCGUAAGAGGUAUCGACCCCUCUUGUGCCGCAGCUAACGCAUUAAGUAUCCCGCCUGGGGAGUACGGCCGCAAGGUUG